GCCAUCGGAUGUGCCCAGAUGGGAUUAGCUUGUUGGUGGGGUAACGGCUCACCAAGGCGACGAUCCCUAGCUGGUCUGAGAGGAUGACCAGCCACACUGGAACUGAGACACGGUCCAGACUCCUACGGGAGGCAGCAGUGGGGAAUAUUGCACAAUGGGCGCAAGCCUGAUGCAGCCAUGCCGCGUGUAUGAAGAAGGCCUUCGGGUUGUAAAGUACUUUCAGCGGGGAGGAAGGGAGUAAAGUUAAUACCUUUGCUCAUUGACGUUACCCGCAGAAGAAGCACCGGCUAACUCCGUGCCAGCAGCCGCGGUAAUACGGAGGGUGCAAGCGUUAAUCGGAAUUACUGGGCGUAAAGCGCACGCAGGCGGUUUGUUAAGUCAGAUGUGAAAUCCCCGGGCUCAACCUGGGAACUGCAUCUGAUACUGGCAAGCUUGAGUCUCGUAGAGGGGGGUAGAAUUCCAGGUGUAGCGGUGAAAUGCGUAGAGAUCUGGAGGAAUACCGGUGGCGAAGGCGGCCCCCUGGACGAAGACUGACGCUCAGGUGCGAAAGCGUGGGGAGCAAACAGGAUUAGAUACCCUGGUAGUCCACGCCGUAAACGAUGUCGACUUGGAGGUUGUGCCCUUGAGGCGUGGCUUCCGGAGCUAACGCGUUAAGUCGACCGCCUGGGGAGUACGGCCGCAAGGUUAAAACUCAAAUGAAUUGACGGGGGCCCGCACAAGCGGUGGAGCAUGUGGUUUAAUUCGAUGCAACGCGAAGAACCUUACCUGGUCUUGACAUCCACGGAAGUUUUCAGAGAUGAGAAUGUGCCUUCGGGAACCGUGAGACAGGUGCUGCAUGGCUGUCGUCAGCUCGUGUUGUGAAAUGUUGGGUUAAGUCCCGCAACGAGCGCAACCCUUAUCCUUUGUUGCCAGCGGUCCGGCCGGGAACUCAAAGGAGACUGCCAGUGAUAAACUGGAGGAAGGUGGGGAUGACGUCAAGUCAUCAUGGCCCUUACGACCAGGGCUACACACGUGCUACAAUGGCGCAUACAAAGAGAAGCGACCUCGCGAGAGCAAGCGGACCUCAUAAAGUGCGUCGUAGUCCGGAUUGGAGUCUGCAACUCGACUCCAUGAAGUCGGAAUCGCUAGUAAUCGUGGAUCAGAAUGCCACGGUGAAUACGUUCCCGGGCCUUGUACACACCGCCCGUCACACCAUGGGAGUGGGUUGCAAAAGAAGUAGGUAGCUUAACCUUCGGGAGGGCGCUUACCACUUUGUGAUUCAUGACUGGGGUGAAGUCGUAACAAGGUAACCGUAGGGGAACCUGCGGUUGGAUCACCUCCUUACCUUAAAGAAGC
rnacentral:rRNA from 1 species